rnacentral:rRNA from 1 species
UACGUAGGGACCGAGCGUUGUUCGGAGUUACUGGGCGUAAAGAGUGCGUAGGCGGUUUUCUAAGUUUGGUGUGAAAUCUCCCGGCUUAACUGGGAGGGUGCGCCGAAAACUGGAAGGCUUGAGUAUGGGAGAGGUAAGCGGAAUUCCUGGUGUAGCGGUGAAAUGCGUAGAUAUCAGGAGGAACACCGGUGGCGAAGGCGGGUCUCUGGGCCGUAACUGACGCUGAGGAGCGAAAGCAUGGGGAGCGAACAGG